rnacentral:rRNA from 1 species
GGUAAAUCCGGUUCACUUUAACACUGAGGCGUGACGACGAGGCACUACGGUGCUGAAGCAACAAAUGCCCUGCUUCCAGGAAAAGCCUCUAAGCAUCAGGUAACAUCAAAUCGUACCCCAAACCGACACAGGUGGUCAGGUAGAGAAUACCAAGGCGCUUGAGAGAACUCGGGUGAAGGAACUAGGCAAAAUGGUGCCGUAACUUCGGGAGAAGGCACGCUGACACGUAGGUGAAGUGAUUUACUCAUGGAGCUGAAGUCAGUCGAAGAUACCAGCUGGCUGCAACUGUUUAUUAAAAACACAGCACUGUGCAAACACGAAAGUGGACGUAUACGGUGUGACGCCUGCCCGGUGCCGGAAGGUUAAUUGAUGGGGUCAGCGCAAGCGAAGCUCCUGAUCGAAGCCCCGGUAAACGGCGGCCGUAACUAUAACGGUCCUAAGGUAGCGAAAUUCCUUGUCGGGUAAGUUCCGACCUGCACGAAUGGCGUAAUGAUGGCCAGGCUGUCUCCACCCGAGACUCAGUGAAAUUGAACUCGCUGUGAAGAUGCAGUGUACCCGCGGCAAGACGGAAAGACCCCGUGAACCUUUACUAUAGCUUGACACUGAACAUUGAGCCUUGAUGUGUAGGAUAGGUGGGAGGCUUUGAAGUGUGGACGCCAGUCUGCAUGGAGCCGACCUUGAAAUACCACCCUUUAAUGUUUGAUGUUCUAACGUGGACCCGUAAUCCGGGUUGCGGACAGUGUCUGGUGGGUAGUUUGACUGGGGCGGUCUCCUCCUAAAGAGUAACGGAGGAGCACGAAGGUUGGCUAAUCCUGGUCGGACAUCAGGAGGUUAGUGCAAUGGCAUAAGCCAGCUUGACUGCGAGCGUGACGGCGCGAGCAGGUGCGAAAGCAGGUCAUAGUGAUCCGGUGGUUCUGAAUGGAAGGGCCAUCGCUCAACGGAUAAAAGGUACUCCGGGGAUAACAGGCUGAUACCGCCCAAGAGUUCAUAUCGACGGCGGUGUUUGGCACCUCGAUGUCGGCUCAUCACAUCCUGGGGCUGAAGUAGGUCCCAAGGGUAUGGCUGUUCGCCAUUUAAAGUGGUACGCGAGCUGGGUUUAGAACGUCGUGAGACAGUUCGGUCCCUAUCUGCCGUGGGCGCUGGAGAACUGAGGGGGGCUGCUCCUAGUACGAGAGGACCGGAGUGGACGCAUCACUGGUGUUCGGGUUGUCAUGCCAAUGGCACUGCCCGGUAGCUAAAUGCGGAAGAGAUAAGUGCUGAAAGCAUCUAAGCACGAAACUUGCCCCGAGAUGAGUUCUCCCUGAGACUUAGAGUCUCCUGAAGGAACGUUG